rnacentral:rRNA from 1 species
UGCAAGUCGAGCGGUAGCACAGAGAGCUUGCUCUCGGGUGACGAGCGGCGGACGGGUGAGUAAUGUCUGGGAAACUGCCUGAUGGAGGGGGAUAACUACUGGAAACGGUAGCUAAUACCGCAUAAUGUCGCAAGACCAAAGUGGGGGACCUUCGGGCCUCAUGCCAUCAGAUGUGCCCAGAUGGGAUUAGCUAGUAGGUGGGGUAACGGCUCACCUAGGCGACGAUCCCUAGCUGGUCUGAGAGGAUGACCAGCCACACUGGAACUGAGACACGGUCCAGACUCCUACGGGAGGCAGCAGUGGGGAAUAUUGCACAAUGGGCGCAAGCCUGAUGCAGCCAUGCCGCGUGUAUGAAGAAGGCCUUCGGGUUGUAAAGUACUUUCAGCGGGGAGGAAGGCGAUAAGGUUAAUAACCUUGUCGAUUGACGUUACCCGCAGAAGAAGCACCGGCUAACUCCGUGCCAGCAGCCGCGGUAAUACGGAGGGUGCAAGCGUUAAUCGGAAUUACUGGGCGUAAAGCGCACGCAGGCGGUCUGUCAAGUCGGAUGUGAAAUCCCCGGGCUCAACCUGGGAACUGCAUUCGAAACUGGCAGGCUAGAGUCUUGUAGAGGGGGGUAGAAUUCCAGGUGUAGCGGUGAAAUGCGUAGAGAUCUGGAGGAAUACCGGUGGCGAAGGCGGCCCCCUGGACAAAGACUGACGCUCAGGUGCGAAAGCGUGGGGAGCAAACAGGAUUAGAUACCCUGGUAGUCCACGCCGUAAACGAUGUCGAUUUGGAGGUUGUGCCCUUGAGGCGUGGCUUCCGGAGCUAACGCGUUAAAUCGACCGCCUGGGGAGUACGGCCGCAAGGUUAAAACUCAAAUGAAUUGACGGGGGCCCGCACAAGCGGUGGAGCAUGUGGUUUAAUUCGAUGCAACGCGAAGAACCUUACCUGGUCUUGACAUCCACAGAACUUAGCAGAGAUGCUUUGGUGCCUUCGGGAACUGUGAGACAGGUGCUGCAUGGCUGUCGUCAGCUCGUGUUGUGAAAUGUUGGGUUAAGUCCCGCAACGAGCGCAACCCUUAUCCUUUGUUGCCAGCGGUUAGGCCGGGAACUCAAAGGAGACUGCCAGUGAUAAACUGGAGGAAGGUGGGGAUGACGUCAAGUCAUCAUGGCCCUUACGACCAGGGCUACACACGUGCUACAAUGGCAUAUACAAAGAGAAGCGACCUCGCGAGAGCAAGCGGACCUCAUAAAGUAUGUCGUAGUCCGGAUUGGAGUCUGCAACUCGACUCCAUGAAGUCGGAAUCGCUAGUAAUCGUAGAUCAGAAUGCUACGGUGAAUACGUUCCCGGGCCUUGUACACACCGCCCGUCACACCAUGGGAGUGGGUUGCAAAAGAAGUAGG